rnacentral:lncRNA from 1 species
UUGGGUAAGAGCAUAAGAAUAACAGCUUAUGUUUUUUUUCUACUCAGGCAUCUACCUCUUCCCCAAAUCUAGUUCCUUCUGCCCUCUGUGUGGAGAAGACUACUGGGCCUUAAGCUCCUGAAGGAAUCACAGCAUUGGAGCCAGCACAAGCAGCACUUCCUAGAAAUCUCCAAGGCUUCAGAGCUGAUCACACUUGGCUAGGGCUGAGCCCAAGUUCCAUGGAAAGAAACCUUUACAAGGUGCCAUGGCACCUGCCUUAAAGAGGGCAGGCACCCUCAUCAGGGCAGGCAACUAAUAGGAGUCCCUGGCAGCUUGGGAGUUGGAAACAAAUCUUAGAAGACAGACUGAAACUAAUAGCUAAUAGUUUUUGAUUACUUGGUAUAUGUCCAGCCCUGUUCUAACUGCUUUAUAGAUAAUUAUGCAUUGAUUCUGUGAAACACUCUUAUAAGGAAGGUACUGUUAUCUCCAUUUUAUAGGCAAGGCAACUGAGGCACAGAGAGGUUACAUUGGUGGUAGAAUACGGAACAACAUUAUGAAGCUAGACAAUCUGUCAUCAGAUCCCAGGUUCUUUUUUUUUUUUUUCUUUUUUUGAGACGGAAUCUCGCUCUGUCACCCAGGCUGGAGUGCAGUGGCGCGAUCUCGGCUCACUGUAACCUCUGCCUCUUGGGUUCAAGCAAUUCUCCUGCCUCAGCCUCCCAAGUAGCUGGGAUUACAGGCAUGUGCUGAUCCCAGGCUCCUAACCACUAGGCACACGACAUGUACAUGAGUCCCCUCUCCUGAAUCUCCACUUCCAGAUUUAGUCCUUCACUCAGGACCUGGUUCCUGAUGCCUGCAGGGUUUUUAGUGUUUUGCUGCAGUCGGGCUCUGGGACAGUGUAGCCUUAGGGCAUAGAGCAAGGAGAGAGCCCCUCCAAUGAAUCUGCAGGAGGGCCAGGAUAGGAAAGGAGGGAGGGCAGCAAAAGCAAAUACCUGGAAGCAGCUAGUAAGAUAACAGAACAGCGAGAAUCCUCUCCUCCCCAGGCAAUACACCUGCAUCCCCCACCUCUCCCAAGUACACAGAUAUGCAUGCACUCGCAUGCACAUACAUCUGUGCUCAAUUAUUCCAGUGGAAGGGCAGAGCAGGGCUGCCGACAAGUGCACACAAAUAGGGAUGCUUACCAUGUGGCCGAAUUCCUUUUCCCCUAGGCAGACAGUCAAGCAGCUUUGUGGCCUGGUAGGACCAGGCCUCCUUGUUUCUCGGUAUUGCUAAAACCAAGGUUAAUGUCAGGUCCUGACACUGGCCCAAUGACAAUCCUAGCCAGCAGGAGCUUGGCUCAGAAGAAGUGAAAAAAAAAUGAUAAGCAAGUGCUCUUUGCAGAAGUCUUUCCCUUUUAUGACCCCAUAUAUAUUUGUCUGUUCCUUUGUCAUCUAUACCAUUUUCUUAGUUUGUAGAAAACUGGCCUGCUUCUGUCUUGGGACCACUGCAAGGGAAUGUUAUUCCCCAGCAAUAAAGUAGGUCAGAGCCAGACUGGAGACUUGCAUUCCUGUGUGGUUGUCUCCAUUGUCACCACUCAAGUCUCAGGGAUUGCUCUUCCUAAAACCAUGUCCUUGGGAGCAAGGCUUUGCCCAUUGUUUUCUCUUCUCUUCUCUUCUCUAGCAGAAGGUCUCUAAAGGCUACUAUCCCUAGAACUGGCCAUCUUCAGGCUGAAGCUAGGUUGGGCUAAAAUGAUCAGCCUUCAGUAGAAAUCAAGGCUGAAACAGGUAAAAAGCAGGCUGUCUGAGCAUUUCCCUACCAGAGACCCUUCAGCUAAGUGUCUGGGUAUACUCAGUCAAACACCAUCCCUGCCUUUGUGUUCAUAUUCUGUGUCCCUAUUCAAGAAAGGUAGUUUUCUUUCUUUCUCUCUUUCUUUCUUUUCUUUCUUUCCUUUUCUUUCUUUCUUUUCUCUCUCUCUCUUUCUUCCCGUCUUUCUUUCUCUCUCUUUCUUUCUUUCCUUUCUUUCUUUUUUUUUUUGCCCAGGCUGGAGUGCAACUGCGCAAUCUCGGCUAACCACAACCUCUGCCUCCCGGGGCCUCCGGGGUAGCUGGGAUUACAGGCAUGCACCAUCAUGCCCGGAUAAUUC